UACGUAGGGCGCAAGCGUUGUCCGGAAUUAUUGGGCGUAAAGAGCUCGUAGGCGGCUUGUCACGUCGGGUGUGAAAGCCCGGGGCUUAACCCCGGGUCUGCAUUCGAUACGGGCUGGCUAGAGUGUGGUAGGGGAGAUCGGAAUUCCUGGUGUAGCGGUGAAAUGCGCAGAUAUCAGGAGGAACACCGGUGGCGAAGGCGGAUCUCUGGGCCAUUACUGACGCUGAGGCGCGAAAGCUGGGGGAGCAAACGGG
rnacentral:rRNA from 1 species